UACAGGGGGUGCAAACGUUGCUCGGAAUCAUUGGGCGUAAAGCGCACGUAGGCGGUUAUUUAAGUCGGAUGUGAAAGCCCUUGGCUCAACCGAGGAAGUGCAUCCGAAACUGAGUAGCUGGAGUACGAAAGAGGGUCGCGGAAUUCCCGGUGUAGAGGUAAAAUUCGUAGAUAUCAGGAGGAACACCGGUGGCGAAGGCGGUUCUCUGGGCCGUAACUGACGCUGAGGAGCGAAAGCGUGGGGAGCGAACAGG
rnacentral:rRNA from 1 species